UACAGAGGGUGCAAGCGUUGUUCGGAAUUAUUGGGCGUAAAGCGCGUGUAGGCGGCAUUGCAAGUCGGGUGUGAAAGCCCUCAGCUCAACUGAGGAAGUGCGCCCGAAACUGCAGUGCUUGAGUACCGGAGAGGAUGGCGGAAUUCCCAAGUAGAGGUGAAAUUCGUAGAUAUGGGGAGGAACACCGGUGGCGAAGGCGGCCAUCUGGACGGAUACUGACGCUGAGACGCGAAAGCGUGGGUAGCAAACAGG
rnacentral:rRNA from 1 species